GGCGGACAUUGAUCAGAUGAGUUUCUGGCAGUCCCACCCUGCUAGCAGGCAGGCCCAAACCUUCUGAGUGUAACCAACAGGCACAGCAUCUUAACAAUUCAAGAGCUGGUCUUCUCCGUGAGACAGCACGGCAGUGAGCUUCCAACCUCUCCCUAACUCACGGUUCCUGUCCUACAGCGGUAUCUAGCAUGCUGAAGCCUGGAUGCCUGGGGUACUGGCAGCAGAUGAAACCAGGACUCCUAACAAUAUGAGACUCUACUAAAGAGAAUGACUUAUUCUUAUCAGUGUUUCGGGUCUCACUGAUCUCUGGCCUUGUGGACCCAAAUGAAAACCAUGAGUGCAACAUUGGCUCUGUCAUCUCUGUCUCUGUUGCUGGCUCUGGAGCAGCAGGGUUGCUCUCUACCUCAGGCCCCAUCUUCCAGCUCCAGGCCCAGCGUGGAUGCCCAGUAACACCUGUGCACAGAUCGACUCAGAUAAGCGUCAACCUAAUAGAAUAUGACGGAACUGAAGAUCGUUUUUUUUUUGGUACCGGGGAUCGAACUCCAGUCCUUGUGCUUGCCAGGCAAGCGGCAGAACCACUGAGCUAAAUCCAUGGAACUGGAACUGAAGAUCUUCACAGCCAACCAUCAUGUCUUCUUCUUUGAGGACGAGCAUCCUCUACUCUUCUGAUUGCUCCCCAGAUGUCAUGGAGAGGCUGUGGAACUGAUAAUCUAAAUUGGGUGCCGUGACUAUUCACGAAAUAUUGGAGAGAAACCUUCACAAUCGGGAUGCAACAUCGUUGUGCUCGUCUUUCUAGAACUGUUUGGGUAGCUAGCUCUUCGCUCAGUGUGUCUGCCUCCACCGCCGACAGAGAAGUCCUCUGUAGGCUUCAUCACUUGGCGCACCGGGGACACACUGCCCUUGCAGGGUGCUGCAGAGAGAGCGUUGCAUGGGUGGAGAGGUGGAGAGGCCAGUUCGUCAAGUAGGUGACUCCCUGCGCUGUGUCAUGGGGUGGUCAUGACCUGGGAAGACUCCAGUGGUGAGGACACUGUACCCUGUGGCUUUGGAGCCUGCAUUUGUAUCAUUGGGCCGUCUUUGGGAAAGCAUGUUAGAAGUUAAAGAUGGUACUAUAUGAGAGGUAAGGAAGCCUUCCUCGUGUCUCACUUACAUUUCCAACUUCCUUCACACUCAGUUCAAGUUUGACUCCAGAAAACCCUCUCUGAACUGCAGGCCUGAGUUAGGGACUCUGUUUGAAGCCUUCAGCAUCACAUUCCUCCCAGCACCUGUGACACUGCCUAGAAAUGAUCUGCUCUGCUGAUCUCUGUGGUCUGCCUCUGUCUCAUUACCUGCUCGUCUGGCAUGUGGGACAGGGCCUGACGCUGGAGAUAUGUGUUAUGUGAUUGUGGGGUCUGACAUGGGCUCAGGGCUUGAUACGCAGGGGAGCCUCCCCUGCAGGAGCACCACGAGGCCAUCGGAGUUGUAGACUACAUGCAUCAGAGUGUGAGGACUUCUCUCUGGAUCUUUGGGACACAAGGCAAAAGGGAAGAGCAGGUGCUGGUUGGCGACAUGGCGCCACCCUGUUGCAAUAGGCUUGGUGUGCAGCAUAGCACCAGCGGGGAUGUUGGACAGUUGGCAGCAGAAAGGCUCCUGCAUGGGGCAAGGUGGAUGCAAACUGGUGAAAGGGGCCCAAGCAAAGCCCUGUUUUUCUGCAAUCUGAGAGCUGCUGCUCAAGGGCCUUCAACUCUGCCACCACCCGGGAAGGCAUUCUGCUUUAUUCAGUCCACGAAUCACAUGCUAACCUCAUCUAGAAGCAGCCUCAGACAAACCUCAGAAGGUCUGAUCACAUAUCUGCGAAUCUCACGGCCGGGCCAAAGUGACACAUGAAGUUGGUGCGGGUGCCAUAUUGGAGCGGUGGUCCGCGGCAUCAGAAGUACCCUAGGCAAGCUUUGGACCUGACUCCUCCCUCUCCAUCCUCCCCCCAGCAUCACUGAUGAUAACUGUUAAAACUACAUCGUAUAUAAAUGCAAAGCUGUGAAGAUUAUGGAACUUUUGAGAAAAACAGAAGACAAUGAAUUUAAUGAUUUUCUACUCAUUGACUGAGUCAUGGGACAACUGUGUAAAGGAUUUCCUGAACUAUAAAUUCUUAUUGUCAUAAACCAUAAACGUUUUGAAAGAAAAAAAGCUCCCCAAAUAUUCAAUAGUCAAAUGAGAAAACUGGCAAUAUGACUUACAUUUUCUCAGUGUUGCCACUGCAAAUAAACUAACUUUGAGGGUCUGUGGAAAGUAAAAGUUUGGGACCUACAUCCACCUGUAUGGAAAUUUAUAUUGAAAUUGAAGCUUUACAUGAUACAAUUUAAUAAUGAUUUUACAUGUUUUCUAAUAUGAAUCAGUAUGGGAAAUAUUUUAAAUGUGAUUAGUGGUGUCAUGUAUAUUGAUUACAAAAAGUAUGAGAAAAAAUUGAAGAAUGUUUUUCCAUACUGAUAAAUUUAGAGUUGUUUUAAAAUCUAUGCACUACUAAUUUGGAUUCAAUUUUAAUAAUACUGAGUUAAGAAAAAAUUAAUGAAUUUAUUUAAUUUUAACAGGCAUAACUUUGAAAUGGAUACACAAAGUCCAAUCGGUUCUUUGAAAAAGAUACUGUACACUUGUUUUGUUAAUGUAGUUAUUAAUAUUACUUAAUAUUAUUUUUAAUAAUGGGUUCAGUUAUCUGACAUCUUUUAAGUACGUGUGGAACAAUGUAGGCAUAUGAAUCUACUUUUUUAAUGGUAAAUUUUUAUCAAGUAUAUCCCAUGAAAAUUUAGCUUCUGAUUGGGAUACAUUCUAAAUGUAAAAC
rnacentral:lncRNA from 1 species